GAGUUUGAUCAUGGCUCAGAAUCAACGCUGGCGGCGUGCCUCAGACAUGCAAGUCGAACGAUUAAACUUUCCUUCGGGAAAGAUAUAAAGUGGCGCACGGGUGAGUAACACGUAAGUAAUCUACCUUCGAGUGGGGAAUAACGUUCGGAAACGGACGCUAAUACCGCAUAAUGCAGCGGCACCUUAUGGUGACAGUUGUUAAAGGAGCAAUUCGCUUGAAGAGGAGCUUGCGGCAGAUUAGCUAGUUGGUAAGGUAAUGGCUUACCAAGGCUACGAUCUGUAACCGGUCUAAGAGGACGGUCGGUCACACUGACACUGAAUAACGGGUCAGACUCCUACGGGAGGCAGCAGUCGGGAAUUUUGGGCAAUGGGCGAAAGCCUGACCCAGCAACGCCGCGUGAAGGAUGAAGUAUUUCGGUAUGUAAACUUCGAAAGAAUGGGAAGAAUCAAUGACGGUACCAUUUAUAAGGUCCGGCUAACUACGUG
rnacentral:rRNA from 1 species